GNGGNNNNNGUAGCCGGCCUGANAGGGCGACCGGCCACACUGGGACUGAGACACGGCCCAGACUCCUACGGGAGGCAGCAGUGGGGAAUAUUGCGCAAUGGGCGGAAGCCUGACGCAGCGACGCCGCGUGGGGGAUGACGGCCUUCGGGUUGUAAACCUCUUUCGCCAGGGACGAAGAGUGAUUGACGGUACCUGGAGAAGAAGCACCGGCCAACUACGUGCCAGCAGCCGCGGUAACACGUAGGGUGCGAGCGUUGUCCGGAAUUAUUGGGCGUAAAGAGCUCGUAGGCGGUGUGUCGCGUCGGCCGUGAAAACUUGGGGCUUAACUCUGAGCGUGCGGUCGAUACGGGCAUCACUUGAGUUCGGCAGGGGAGACUGGAAUUCCUGGUGUAGCGGUGAAAUGCGCAGAUAUCAGGAGGAACACCGGUGGCGAAGGCGGGUCUCUGGGCCGAUACUGACGCUGAGGAGCGAAAGCGUGGGGAGCGAACAGGAUUAGAUACCCUGGUAGUCCACGCCGUAAACGUUGGGCGCUAGGUGUGGGGACCAUUCCACGGUUUCUGUGCCGCAGCUAACGCAUUAAGCGCCCCGCCUGGGGGAGUA
rnacentral:rRNA from 1 species